rnacentral:rRNA from 3 species
UGCGACCCCAGGUCAGG